AACGUAGGUGGCGAGCGUUAUCCGGAUUUACUGGGCGUAAAGCGUGUGCAGGCGGGGAGAUAAGUGGUGUAUGAAAUCGCCCAGCUUAACUGGGCAAGGUUAUGCCAGACUGUCACUCUAGAGUGCGAGAGAGGGGCGUGGAAUUCCGGGUGUAGUGGUGAAAUGCGUAGAGAUCCGGAGGAACCCCAGAGGCGAAGGCGGCGCCCUGGCUCGCAACUGAACGCUCAGACACGACAGCA
rnacentral:rRNA from 1 species